UACGUAGGGAGCAAGCGUUGUCCGGAUUUAUUGGGCGUAAAGAGCUCGUAGGCGGCUCAGUAAGUCGGGUGUGAAAACUCCAGGCUCAACCUGGAGACGCCACCUGAUACUGCUGUGGCUAGAGUCCGGUAGGGGAGCAUGGAAUUCCUGGUGUAGCGGUGAAAUGCGCAGAUAUCAGGAAGAACACCAACGGCGAAGGCAGCUCGCUGGGACGGAACUGACGCUAAGGCGCGAAAGCGUGGGGAGCGAACAGGA
rnacentral:rRNA from 1 species